rnacentral:rRNA from 1 species
AUUGAACGCUGGCGGCAUGCCUUACACAUGCAAGUCGAACGGUAACGCGGGGCAACCUGGCGACGAGUGGCGAACGGGUGAGUACUGUAUCGGAACGUGCCCAGUUGUGGGGGAUAACUGCUCGAAAGAGCAGCUAAUACCGCAUACGACCUGAGGGUGAAAGCGGGGGAUCGCAAGACCCCGCGCAAUUGGAGCGGCCGAUAUCAGAUUAGGUAGUGGGUGGGGUAAAGGCCCACCAAGCCAACGAUCUGUAGCUGGUCUGAGAGGACGACCAGCCACACUGGGACUGAGACACGGCCCAGACUCCUACGGGAGGCAGCAGUGGGGAAUUUUGGACAAUGGGCGCAAGCCUGAUCCAGCCAUGCCGCGUGCGGGAAGAAGGCCUUCGGGUUGUAAACCGCUUUUGUCAGGGAAGAAACGCUCUGGGUUAAUACCUCGGGGUAAUGACGGUACCUGAAGAAUAAGCACCGGCUAACUACGUGCCAGCAGCCGCUGUAACAC